rnacentral:rRNA from 1 species
AGCGAACGCUGGCGGCAGGCCUAACACAUGCAAGUCGAACGGAUCCUUCGGGAUUAGUGGCGGACGGGUGAGUAACACGUGGGAACGUGCCCUUUGGUUCGGAACAACUCAGGGAAACUUGAGCUAAUACCGGAUGUGCCCUUCGGGGGAAAGAUUUAUCGCCAUUGGAGCGGCCCGCGUCUGAUUAGCUAGUUGGUGAGGUAACGGCCCACCAAGGCGACGAUCAGUAGCUGGUCUGAGAGGAUGAUCAGCCACACUGGGACUGAGACAUGGCCCAGACUCCUACGGGAGGCAGCAGUGGGGAAUCUUGCGCAAUGGGCGAAAGCCUGACGCAGCCAUGCCGCGUGAAUGAUGAAGGUCUUAGGAUUGUAAAAUUCUUUCAGCGGGGACGAUAAUGACGGUACCCGCAGAAGAAGCGCCGGCUAACUUCGUG